rnacentral:sRNA from 1 species
GCCUGCGGGGGCACGCCAGUCAGCGAGUUUCGCCCACUGGCGCAACAUUU